GAUGAACGCUGGCGGCGUGCCUAAUACAUGCAAGUCGAGCGAACGGACGAGAAGCUUGCUUCUCUGAUGUUAGCGGCGGACGGGUGAGUAACACGUGGAUAACCUACCUAUCAGACUGGGAUAACUUCGGGACACCGGAGAUAAUACCGGAUAAUAUUUUGCACCGCAUGGUUCAAAAGUGAAAGACGGUCUUGCUGUCACUUAUCGCUGGAUCCGCGCUGCAUUAGCUAGUUGGUAAGGUCACGGCUUACCAAGGCAACGAUGCAUAGACGACCUGAGAGAGUGAUAGGCCGCACGGGAACUGAGACACGGUCCAUACGCCUACGGGAGGGAGCAGUAGGGAAUCGUCGGCAAUGGGCGAAAGCCUGACGGAGCAAGGCCGCGUGAGUGAUGAAGGUCUUCGGAUCGUAAAAAUCUGUUAUUGGUAAAGAACAGAUGUGGAAGGAACUGUGCACAUCUUGACGGUACCUAAUCAGAAAGCCACGGCUAACUACGUG
rnacentral:rRNA from 1 species